CCAAGAACACCAAUUAACUGAAAUAAUCCUUUAAUGGCAAAGAAAAUUCCAAUGAGAAAUCCUUUCAUAGAGUGAGGGCUUUGAGCACAGAUGAAUUCAAACACUCCACCAUAGAUAAAUACAUAGGCCACAGCAACAAGGACUUGCUGAAUAAUGAGAAUGAAGGGGCUGAGAUGAAGGGAGGGAGGAGCAACAAAAUAACCAUAAUCAUUAUACAGGAGCAAACACUGAUCUUCCUGGUGGCCAGAAUGCUACUUCAGAAGUAGUAUUCUGGCCACCAGGAAGACAGUGACCAAUUGUGUCAACAAAAAGUGAACAAAACAGACUAACAGUGACAAGACAAAGACCGAUUCCAAUUCGCCUCAGAAUACCAGGGAAGUAUUUUUGAAACAGAGGAUGAAGAAAUUUGAGAAAAAUAGGAACAAAAAGAAUAAUAAAGGCGGGGUACAGAGUGCCACCAUUAGUGAACAUAGAGUAAACAAUGUUGCUUAAACUAAAACUAUCAACCAGCCAAAUGUUCUCUGCCUGCAUGUGAUCUUUAUGGUAUGUUAAAGAAAAUCGGCUUGGGAAUGAGACUAACUAUUUUUAAACGCACAGCUAUAUAUAAAGCCACACGGAUAAUUACUUAUAGCACUUUCAGUAGUGGCCUGCCAUAUCAUGCCAUACAGAUAUACUGUAACUCAGAAACUUUGUGGCCACCCACCACUGUGCUGAAGAUCUGAAAUAUCCUUCCAUUGUCUAUAUACAGGUGAGAGUAUCCCAAUGUUGGCAAGAGCUCCACUAUCAAUAUAAGUGCACGAAGGUCCUAGUCCAGGAAGGAGUAAACACUUUCAUGUAACUUGUUUCACGUUUUCUACUUGAGUGAGAGGCUCAAUCCUCGAUCAUGUAGCCCAUCGCUCCCCCACCUCUAAAUUGGAUCCUACCAUAGACCAGAUGCAUGAGGGACCACAUUCCCUCAGUAUCCCUCGUGGCCUCAAGAAUCUCACGGCUUGUCCUCGAGGAGACCUACGGAAUAAGACUACCACACCCCAGGAAGAGGAGGACCUUAAUUAACCACGUUAUGCUGAGGAGCUGCAUGUGUGGAGCUUAUGGCUGUUUAAUUUGCUGUUCUUGCAAAGAAGAAAAGAAGUUGAGUUUAGACAUGGUUUGAGAGCUGUUUGACAAAACUGUGGAACUAGGAAGGACAAGCAAGUAAAAGGGCUCAAACAAAGUGGAGACCAAUUGAAGCCUAUAUUGCCCAAGUUUCAUAGCACGCAAUAAGAUGAUGUUGAAAGUGACACUUGUUGGAGAGAGCAUUAUACUGGACACCCUUGUAUGACCAGACCACUGUAAAGUAUCGACACAAUUGGAGGUGAUGCUGAGAAGUCAAAGGCAGUAUCUUGCAAUUGCAGUGAACUGAGUGCAGACUUGUUAUGCUUAACUAUAUGUUAAAAGAAACCUUUCACUUUUGUAUAUCCUUAUCGUUUGUUUAGAUACAAUUUUAAUACUGAAUUGAUGUGAAAUAAUUGAUUUACAAUCAGCACAGA